CUCUUCCUCCUCCUCUUCCUCACACACUGCUGAGUUUGUCCUGGUGGAUCAUCAGGGGUGCAAAGCCUCACAGAUGAUGUGCAGCAGCUCCCUCAGUCUGUCCUCAUGUAGCCGGAGGGGCUACUUGCUUUUCCUUUCUCUCUCGCCCCCACUUGCGCUACUGCUUUCUCUCUCCCUCCUGUGCUUGCUCCCGCUGCGCGCUUACGUCAACUAGGAGCCCACCUGUAUAUUGAUUACAGGGUGGCGUUUACCUGUAUAAAGAGAAGCCGGGUUCUUUCGUUGGAUUAUUUCCUCCCGAGCUUCUGGUGCGAUACAGCGGUAGACGCUGGCUUGUUGGUUAAAUUACUGAGGCGAUCAGGUCGUGUGAUUGCUACAGGUAGGUCUCCCCUUCGAUUUCUGAUUCUUUCCUUUGCUCCAGCCGUGGCGAGGAGACGCGUGAGUGCAUCCGCCGUGCAGUACAGCGCCUCCAAGUUCUGGGGGUUUGAUUGCUGCCGUGCCCUCUCGGGGACCAACCGCCUGCUUUGGUUACGUAGAGAGUCGGGCGCCUGCUCUGCUGCUGUCUUGCCUUGUUUUAUCUUGUGUUCCGAUCUGUUAGCUGUCCAAUCUUGUUCCUGCUGCUUGUCUCGCCUCGCCCCUGGGGGUUUUGGGUUUCACGCUAAGCCCCUUUUGGACUAUCAUUUCAUUCCAGCUUUCGCGGCUGGUCGGGGCGAUCCUCAGCUGCAUAUUGGGCUGGUGUUACAAAACUGGUACUGCCUCUCCCUUUUCUCUUAGUUGUGGAGAGCUGCGCGGGACUGAGUGGGGCUACGGACAAUCGGAACCAGCACCAGCUGUGGGCUGGCUCGCAGAGUACAAGUACUUCUAAUCUGUGCUCUGUGGUGUGUAUGUGGGUGUGUUUUAUUGCAGACCUCCGUUUUUCUUUUAAUUUCUUUUUAGUGUAGAGCGCCUGUUUUAUGUCCCAUGUUUUUACCCUUUUUAUGUGUAUGUCUUGUGCUUCUAUUUCAGCGAACUGAGGAUCUACCAGCGGCCGUGGGACCUUAGGUGGCGGGUCGUUUUCCACACUUCCUUUGUUGUACAGCACCAGGUGAAUAGACUAUAGUAGGUUUUUUUUGUGUGGUUUUCUUUUGGUCCACCGCUGCUGGUAAGUCCCAGUUGUGUUUUAUUUUUUUUUUAAUUGUAAUUUGGGACACCGUUUUAGACAUUCAGUGCGCUGUCAUUGUUGUUUUGUUUUUUAUUUUACAUUAAUAAAUAAAAUUGUUAAUAUUUGAGUCGGCCUCAGUGUGCAUCCCUGAACCUGUGCAAAUGUUGUUUUAAUUAAAUU